GUAGCUAAAUACUAAGCUUUGUACCUAUGUAGGUCAGGUAGUGUAUGUUUGAUUAUUUUUAUGAACCGUUAUUAGGCGGGAUUUAUCCUGUCUAUUGAGACGGUGAGGUGGCAGUGCUAUGUGAUACUGCAUUAUUAUCAGCGAUAAUAAUAUAUUGCGGUUCAACACGUUUUACAUGAAUGCAAGGAUGAUUGUAUUAACAGUUGUAAACAAACGUUUGUACAAACAGCGUAUGUGAUUUAGCAAAGAAUCGAGUUGAUGUCUAUCUGAAUAUUUCUAGUGUAAACAAGCAAUUGCCUAAAUUUUUGUACGUAAUUCUUAGAGUACUGAUAGUGAUAGUGAAAUGGGCACGAAAAGCUAAUUUAAUUUGCCAUGUUCGUAAACUCAAUAUAACAUGAACAAACUUACUAUGUCAAAUGCAUAGUUAUUACACAUAAUAUUUUUUAAUAUUAACGAACAGUAUUAAAUUAGUAUUUAAGAAUAUGGCUAUAGUUUAGGGAUAGGCGAUAAAACUUUUAAUAAUGGUAAAUUUAAACGAAAUAAAUUUAUAUGAUAAAUUCAUUAUUUUCAUUUAUUGCUAUGUAACAUGAUUUUAUUUAAGGCUACCAGUACAUACGAACGUACACUACUACUAAACUACAGAUAAUUAAGUAAAAAAACUUGUAAUUCGCGCUGACAGUGACCGCCUACCAUAAAUAAUUAAAUAAGAUAGAAGUGACGAGUGAGUAGAUCGUAGAUCUACAUUUCAAGUAGGUAGUAGGAAUUAGAAAUGUCAGUCGCUAAACUUCAACAAAUUAAUAACUAUUUAAAUCUAAAUAUGAAAAAAUGAAAAAGUUUCAUAUUUUUGUCAAAGUUUCUAAUAUGAAACAAUUUGUUGUUUUUUUGAAUUUUCAACAAUACCUAUCUUAUUUGUACAGGCUGCAUUGGAACCAUUCCCGAAAAAAACAGCUGGCAGCCACCCUUCGUUCAAUGUACUCAUCGUUUCAUAAAGCAGCCACGGAAUUAUGAGAAUAUUAACAAAAGAAAAACUACUAGCAUAUCUAGGUAGAAAGAAUUCAAACCAUUUGGAGGUAGUCAAAAACGACAAGGAAGAAUGAAAGAUUAAUACCAAAAUGAAAGAUGAAGAAAAUUUACAUGUAAAUGUGUUUUAUAAAAAAUGAU